AUUCAAAGAGACUGACUGGAAACGCAAGCUCUUCCCAUAAAGAUGCGUGUCUGAAACAGUGAGCUCUGUUGGACCCACGACAGCUUCUUACAUGAGCCACCCCUAAAAUCUGAGCCCUCUCAGCAGACCCUCUGGAACAGCACACGGUAAAGAGGACCACUGAUGCCAAGCCUUGUGGCCUAGUCACUGGCCAUUGUGAAGCAGGUCACCAAAAGAUUCAGCUUGGGAGCAACAAUCAAAGACUCGGAGCAAAGACAUCAAGUAACACUAAUUGAAGUAGCAAGACCUCAAGCCACAGACUUCCUUAACCCAAGAGCUGUAGUUGAACCUGUUCCAAGAGGGUAAGAACUUUGACCUCUGCUGGGUCUCCAAAAGCUAUAUCACUUAGCAGGAAAUCCCUGGACUUCACUUGAGAGAAGAAGAGAUAUGCCGUCUUACUUUUCCUUCUACCACUCUUGGACACUUCACUCUGAACAGCCUUCAUCAGC